ensembl:lncRNA
CUAAUACAUUUCACAUUACGAGGAUAUCAACCGGUUUUUCCCCCAAAGGAUCAUGGGAACUUCCGCUUCGCACAAAUAGCUGCGUUCAGUCCACGUCUACUCUUCAAUCCAUUUUGUAAGUCUUCGUGGAUGGACUGUUUGCACUACGCAAGCCAGUUUUUGUUAAAGUAAUUUUUGUAAUCGUAAAACUUUUGACUUUAAAUCCUCUGGAAGCCUUAUGUUUCACUCAUUCAGAUAAGUUACUUUACAUUUGUGAAUUUGCGAGCUGAUAAACGUUCGCUGUCUGACUUUUUAUACGAACUACUUUGGACAUUUACCUUUUUGUGCGUGAAAUGUGCUUGGAAAUGGAUACCAAAGUGGAAUGGGAAGUACUCAAACCGUGUUACUCCAGAAGAUCUGGCAAACUUUCAAAGUGCAGGCUGAGGAAAAUUCUCAAUUUAAGUUCCCGACAAGAAGGCCUGAAAAUGUGGCGCGCCAACAUUGUCAAAGCCACUCUCAAGAAAUACAUUCGCUGCGAGCAGAAAAGGAGGUUAGUUGCUAAACUGGUCAAGCAAGAACAAACUUUGUCCGAAAACUGCGAAAACAUUAUGCAUGAUGGGACGGAGACUGUCGACGGAAAUACACGGUCAAUAUGCUCAAUGGCACCUAAGAACACGACACAGUAUCUCAUGGAUAUCGUAUACGACGACAUGCUAAACGACACCAGUUCCAGCCAGAAGUUGAGCCCCGAUUCGCUCGAGAUCUGCGUGCCAAAGGGACUUCGAAGAAAUAUACCUCCAUCUUGGGUCUUGUUGAUCUGGAGUAAACCGGUUCUGGUUUGGCCGGGUUUUUCUGACCGAAGACCAAAGUAUUGACUUUAAAACCACAAACUAAGCGACGCAACGGACGCCGCCCAUCAGUAGGGGGCGCUCUCGGUCGCAGCGUCGCUUCCUGUGGUGGCCAGACUACCUAUGCCUCCACUAAGGUAUCACAGGUAAACCUGAUUCUCCUACAGGUAUAUGUGGCCGGUAGCACUUGAGUUCACCAGUAAGCUUCCGGUUUGCAAUUUCACUGCGUUUCUAUGACUUUGCUACAAGUAAAGUAUCUUGAACGUGGAGUAAUUGCUGCCGGCGUAGUUUACGCAGUGCCCAGAUAUGUUCAAAGCUGUCAGUGCUGCAUUUACUGUUGUGCAAGCCUUUUUCAGAUCAGGUUCUUCCUCCUACCUGCCUGCAAUCAGCGUGGCUGUUGCCAGAACGAUGGACUCGUGCGGAUGACCAUGGAAGUAAGGUGACAUACGAUUUUGUUACCAAAAGCGUCAGUUUUAGCAGUUCGUUGGUUACCGGAAGACGCGUGUUAGUCAUUGCAAAGUAGACAUACACGGUUUAAACAAACCAGGGUGCAUUUAAACAUGAACUGAGUGUCAUUGUCUGGACAUUUGAGGAAGCCUUUUGUAUUAAAUGCUCUUGUAAAUUAAACAAUCAUGUGAUCUAACUGGUUUAAGUUUUCUGUUCUUGAUGUUAUUGGUAGUAGUGACUGUAUGCCGACCACUUGAGUUUGUAGUAUUCGCUUUUCAAAAAUGUGGCGCAUUUGG